AAUAUGUUUCAGGGGUGGUGUGAUUCCACACCGGAGGUGAUCGCGGCAAGCUGACCGCGUAAGUCCUCGACCGCACAAAAGUGCGCUGAUCGGGUGAGAUUCCCGAACCGACGGUAAGAGUCCGGAUGGAAGAAACGACAU
rnacentral:ncRNA from 2 species